rnacentral:rRNA from 1 species
AUGGCAAAUCCUCAAGUUCCCCCUAAAAAAAACCUUUUCUCGAAGUUAAAGCACUGGUGCCUCUUCGUCUCUAUCAUCUCCGUCAAUCCUCUUCUCAAAACAAAAAAAAACUCCGUCAAUCCUAGCCUGCUCAUGACCACAUCCACAUACACCAGUGCCUUAAAUAAGGAUCCGCCGAAGGAAGAUUUCACUGCUGGCUUAUGCGAAACUAAUUCCCGACCUAUCCAGGCGCUACUUCUUGUCUCUUAUCUUCAAUUUUUUUUGUUUUGGCGCUGUCCUCAAACCCUAGCUCUGCUGAUCUUAGGUUGGGCACAAAGCUGCGACGAACCCGUGUGUGUAGGUCUCAGCUCGUUGGCGCGAGUUCUCGCCUUCCUCAUUUCUGGUGCGGUCGGCCCUCCGCCAAUAAUGAAGCAGAGGUGCCAAAGCAGAUUUUGA